AUUGAACGCUGGCGGCAGGCCUAACACAUGCAAGUCGAACGAGUGGCGGACGGGUGAGUAAUGUCUGGGAAACUGCCUGAUGGAGGGGGAUAACUACUGGAAACGGUAGCUAAUACCGCAUACCAUCGGAUGUGCCCAGAUGGGAUUAGCUAGUCGGGGGGGUAACGGCUCACCUAGGCGACGAUCCCUAGCUGGUCUGAGAGGAUGACCGGCCACACGGGAACUGCUCCACGGUCCAUACUCCGACGGGAGGCAGCGUGGGGGAAUAUUGCACAAUGGGCGCAAUCCUGAUGCAGCCACGCCGCGUGUAUGAAGAAGGCCUUCGGGUUGUAAAGUACUUUCAGCGGGGAGGCGUUACCCGCAGAAGAAGCACCGGCUAACUCCGUGCCAGCAGCCGCGGUAAUUC
rnacentral:rRNA from 1 species